CAGUAGCCGCGGUAAUACGUAGGUGGCAAGCGUUGUCCGGAAUUAUUGGGCGUAAAGGGCUCGCAGGCGGUUUCUUAAGUCUGAUGUGAAAGCCCCCGGCUCAACCGGGGAGGGUCAUUGGAAACUGGGAAACUUGAGUGCAGAAGAGGAGAGUGGAAUUCCACGUGUAGCGGUGAAAUGCGUAGAGAUGUGGAGGAACACCAGUGGCGAAGGCGACUCUCUGGUCUGUAACUGACGCUGAGGAGCGAAAGCGUGGGGAGCGAACAGGAUUAGAGACCCGUGUAGUCCCUGUCUCUUAUAC
rnacentral:rRNA from 1 species